AUUGAACGCUGGCGGCAUGCCUAACACAUGCAAGUCGAACGGCAGCAUGAUAAAGGUUGGCUGUUAGGUGGGGCGAGGGGGGGAGGUGAGUGGUAUACCGCGAAGUGUACUGUUGCGUGGGAGAACACGUAGGGAGACUGACUCUUAUACCACAUAACACCUGCGUGUGAAAGCGGGGGAGCUUCGGACCUUGCGCUAGUGGAGGAGGCGAUGUCGGAUUAGCUAGUUGGCGGGGUAAAGGCCCACCAAGGCGACGAUCAGUAGCUGGUCUGAGAGGAUGAUCAGCCACACUGGAACUGAGACACGGCCCAGACUCCUACGGGAGGCAGCAGUGGGGAAUUUUGGACAAUGGGCGAAAGCCUGAUCCAGCAAUGCCGCGUGGGUGAAGAAGGCCUUCGGGUUGUAAAGCACUUUUGUUGGGAAAGAAAUGCAGCAGGUUAAUACCUCGCUGUUAUGACGGUACCCAAAGAAUAAGCACCGGCUAACUUCGUG
rnacentral:rRNA from 1 species